rnacentral:rRNA from 1 species
UACGUAGGUGGCAAGCGUUGUCCGGAUUUACUGGGUGUAAAGGGCGUGCAGCCGGGCUGACAAGUCAGAUGUGAAAUCCCGCGGCUCAACCGCGGAACUGCAUUUGAAACUGUCAGUCUUGAGUACCGGAGAGGUCAUCGGAAUUCCUUGUGUAGCGGUGAAAUGCGUAGAUAUAAGGAAGAGCACCAGUGGCGAAGGCGGAUGACUGGACGGCAACUGACGGUGAGGCGCGAAAGCGUGGGGAGCAAACAGG